AUUGACAAUGUAAAGUACUUUAUACCCAAUAAGACAAUCUGUCGUUAUUUUAAUUAGGUACUAGCUGACGUCACUGAAACGUUCGACCUUCGCUAAUAGAAGCGAUUAUAUUACUAGAGAUUGUGGGCGAAACUGUAUUACCUAAGCUAACUAGUCAUCCAUACUGCGCCUCACCGGUAGAUUUCCACGAUAAUGAGUCCGGCCCCUCGACUACUAAUUUUAGCGUUAAUAGAAACCUGUUUCUUUGAUACAUAACAUCUCUGUACUAAAUAUAUUAAAUGUAAAUAGCUUGAAUAAAUUAUUUAAAUUAA